CUCAGAAAUCGCCCUAGACCACGCUGCUGUUGUUGAGCUUGGUCCACUCAAAGAUGUCCUGCUCACACACAAUGUCCGAGUUGAUGAGAAGGAGGCGCAGAGUCCGUCCUGACCGAAGAGCCUGGGAGGAAGAGGCAGAAGCAGCAUGUUGGUGCAGAAAAAAGACAACUUUCAUUCAGUCGGUGUUCGGAUCGGUCACAUCUUUCAGUUCUCUCAGUGAUUGUUUCUGGCUGUUCAAGAAUUAUACAAAUUUGUUUAUUGAACCAAUUUUCUUGCAAUAGAAAACAUUAAUUACAACA